UUUAGAUGGCGACCGGCGCACGGGUGAGUAACGCGUAUCCAACCUGCCGAUAACUCGGGGAUAGCCUUUCGAAAGAAAGAUUAAUACCCGAUGGCAUAAUAGAACCGCAUGGUUUGAUUAUUAAAGAAUUUCGGUUAUCGAUGGGGAUGCGUUCCAUUAGGCAGUUGGUGGGGUAGCGGCCCACCAAACCUUCGAUGGAUAGGGGUUCUGAGAGGAAGGUCCCCCACAUUGGAACUGAGACACGGUCCAA
rnacentral:rRNA from 1 species